AUCUAGCUGACUCGUCCCAAAUAGGACGAAACGCGAGUCCUGGAU
rfam:Schistosoma mattheei strain Denwood, Zambia genome assembly, scaffold: SMTD_scaffold0000519